UUUAGACGACGAAGUGGUUGAUGCCAUGCUUCCAAGAAAAGCUUCUAAGCUUCAGGUAACCAGGAACCGUACCCCAAACCGACACAGGUGGUUGGGUAGAGAAUACCAAGGCGCUUGAGAGAACUCGGGUGAAGGAACUAGGCAAAAUGGCACCGUAACUUCGGGAGAAGGUGCGCCGGUGAGGGUGAAGGACUUGCUCCGUAAGCUCAUGCCGGUCGAAGAUACCAGGCCGCUGCGACUGUUUAUUAAAAACACAGCACUCUGCAAACACGAAAGUGGACGUAUAGGGUGUGACGCCUGCCCGGUGCCGGAAGGUUAAUUGAUGGGGUUAGCGCAAGCGAAGCUCUUGAUCGAAGCCCCGGUAAACGGCGGCCGUAACUAUAACGGUCCUAAGGUAGCGAAAUUCCUUGUCGGGUAAGUUCCGACCUGCACGAAUGGCGUAACGAUGGCGGCGCUGUCUCCACCCGAGACUCAGUGAAAUUGAAAUCGCUGUGAAGAUGCAGUGUAUCCGCGGCUAGACGGAAAGACCCCGUGAACCUUUACUAUAGCUUUGCACUGGACUUUGAAUUUGCUUGUGUAGGAUAGGUGGGAGGCUUUGAAGCGUGGACGCCAGUCUGCGUGGAGCCAUCCUUGAAAUACCACCCUGGCAACUUUGAGGUUCUAACUCAGGUCCGUCAUCCGGAUCGAGGACAGUGUAUGGUGGGUAGUUUGACUGGGGCGGUCUCCUCCUAAAGAGUAACGGAGGAGUACGAAGGUGCGCUCAGACCGGUCGGAAAUCGGUCGUAGAGUAUAAAGGCAAAAGCGCGCUUGACUGCGAGACAGACACGUCGAGCAGGUACGAAAGUAGGUCUUAGUGAUCCGGUGGUUCUGUAUGGAAGGGCCAUCGCUCAACGGAUAAAAGGUACUCCGGGGAUAACAGGCUGAUACCGCCCAAGAGUUCAUAUCGACGGCGGUGUUUGGCACCUCGAUGUCGGCUCAUCACAUCCUGGGGCUGAAGCCGGUCCCAAGGGUAUGGCUGUUCGCCAUUUAAAGUGGUACGCGAGCUGGGUUUAGAACGUCGUGAGACAGUUCGGUCCCUAUCUGCCGUGGACGUUUGAGAUUUGAGAGGGGCUGCUCCUAGUACGAGAGGACCGGAGUGGACGAACCUCUGGUGUUCCGGUUGUCACGCCAGUGGCAUUGCCGGGUAGCUAUGUUCGGAAAAGAUAACCGCUGAAAGCAUCUAAGCGGGAAACUUGCCUCAAGAUGAGAUCUCACUGGAACCUUGAGUUCCCUGAAGGGCCGUCGAAGACUACGACGUUGAUAGGUGGGGUGUGUAAGCGCUGUGAGGCGUUGAGCUAACCCAUACUAAUUGCCCGUGAGGCUUGACCAU
rnacentral:rRNA from 1 species